AUUGAACGCUGGCGGCAGGCCUAACACAUGCAAGUCGAACGGUAGCACAGAGAGCUUGCUCUCGGGUGACGAGUGGCGGACGGGUGAGUAACGUCUGGGAAACUGCCCGAUGGAGGGGGAUAACUACUGGAAACGGUAGCUAAUACCGCAUAACGUCGCAAGACCAAAGUGGGGGACCUUCGGGCCUCACACCAUCGGAUGUGCCCAGAUGGGAUUAGCUAGUAGGUGGGGUAAUGGCUCACCUAGGCGACGAUCCCUAGCUGGUCUGAGAGGAUGACCAGCCACUAUGGAACUGAGACACGGUCCAGACUCCUACGGGAGGCAGCAGUGGGGAAUAUUGCACAAUGGGCGCAAGCCUGAUGCAGCCAUGCCGCGUGUAUGAAGAAGGCCUUCGGGUUGUAUAGUACUUUCAGCGGGGAGGAAGGCGGUGAAGUUAAUAGCUUCACCGAUUGACGUUACCCGCAGAAGAAGCACCGGCUAACUCCGUGCCAGCCGCCGCCGUAA
rnacentral:rRNA from 1 species